rnacentral:lncRNA from 1 species
GGGGAGUGAGUUAAAAGAAGCAGUGAUUCGAUUUAGAUUAUUCGCUGUCAGAAAGCAGGGCUAAUUGGUUAGUGUCUUAGGAAAUCUCUGCGGAGGCAUGAAUAGAAUAAGACAAGUGUCAUUUGUAAAGAAACAGUCUUACAAAGGCUGGGAGUGGGGAGUGGUGGUACUUUGUGGCUUGGAUGAUGUUCAUACUUUGUCGUGUCCAGACAUGAUAAGUGGGUAGAAUGGUCUGUCUGCUGAUCCAUCAGGGUCAUAUGAUGGUUUUAAGUGAUGUUGAUGUUCUGUGUCAUCGUUGCGGCUCCCCAGGAGCACACCACGACCUAGCAGAGGGUACCACACGGGUCCGUGGGUGACGUGGUUUGCCUUUAUCCUCUUUCUUCAAUUUAAAGAGAAGUAGGAGCAGAGGUGAACUGGAGGAUUGGGGUAUUUUUUCUGGACUGUAGGUUUAUGGUAAAACCAGAAGGGGAAUAAAAAUCUGACUGAAAACAAUGGAGCCACGUGAGCCUGAGUGCAGGAGGAAGGAGCUGGGCCUGGGGUUACAAUGACCUUCAGCGGAGGGAUAGCCGGUGCCAGGUGGCCCCUGAGCCUUGGUCCUUUCUCGUUAGGGAUGAUCCCUCCUCAGGAUCUGCUCAGUUGGUCCCUCACGUUCCCUUUGUAUUGAGAACAGCUGUCCGGUGCUCCCUGCCCUCCAGCUCUCUCUGCACCCAACUCAGUCCAGCUGCCAAAUGCCAGCCCUGGACGAUUUUAAGGCUGGAAAGUGUUGAGACUCCCUCACUGCCAGAUGCUGUCUUGGAGAGGGUGGGAGAAAGACUGAACAGCGAGCCACACUCAGGUGUCACAGUGACUUCCCUGUGCCACAUUGGAGAAUAUGCCCAAUAACAUGACUGGUCAGCCUGCCAUGGAAUCCUGCUGUUCUGAAAUCUGAGGUUCCCACUGCCUGGGUGCUGCAGGAGGAAUUGUAACUUUGUUUCACCCCAGUCAUAUUUGAUUCUUAAUAUUUUAAUUAAAACAAUUUUUAAAUUUGAAAAUCCCUAAGAAUAUUCUCUUCACUAAAUGGUAUGGAUUGGUGUGGAUUACCUACAGUUCUCGUUUACUCCAGAGAUGCUUUUCAGAACUCUUCCAUAAACGUGUAGUUGUGAAUCACUAGUUGGUGACCUUUCUCUGGGCUAUAGUUUUCCCCUAAAGAACAGCUGUGGAAUUUAUCUUCAGGAACUUAUAAGCUGAGUAAGGGAUGCCUUUGCAUUUUAAAUAUAAUGUC